CUCGACUGACCCUCACCUUCCACCCUGUGCCUCUUAUCUGUCAGUGAUCCCUCAUUCUCCUGACUGUGAUUGGCAGCCUUUAAGGAAAACUCUCCAACCAGAGUGGAGGAGGUCCCGGUACAAAAGAAAGUCACCACAAAACAAACAAUCUGAUGAGAAUGUGGCGUUUUGCUAACUCACUGCUGAAUCCAACAAAGGCAUGAGAACAGACAUCACCAGCCUGACACAACACUGGCUUAACCAAUGGCAUCAGUUUGGGGCGGGACUAGCUGUUUAUCCAUCCAAUGGCAGAUGAGUUUUUCCUCUCCCUCUUCCAGAAGGGUUGACAGCUCCAAACAAAACAGGCCCUGUGAGCUGACUGACACAUUCUGCCUCUGAAAGGAGAGCAUUUAACACGCCUCACACCCUGCACUGCCCACCACACACACACACCCUUAGCCAUAUUGAAACAAAACGCCACCACAGAGAAAAGAAAGCAUCGGCCAGAGUUUGGGGGGAUUUGCACCUUGAAGAAGAGAAA
ensembl:lncRNA